rnacentral:rRNA from 1 species
UACGUAGGGUGCAAGCGUUAAUCGGAAUUACUGGGCGUAAAGCGUGCGCAGGCGGUUAUGCAAGACAGAUGUGAAAUCCCGGGCUCAACCUGGGAACUGCAUUUGUGACUGCAUAGCUAGAGUACGGUAGAGGGGAUGGAAUUCCGCGUGUAGCAGUGAAAUGCGUAGAUAUGCGGAGGAACACCGAUGGCGAAGGCAAUCCCCGUGGA